ACUCUUGUUUAUGGUGUCAGAAUCACCCUAGGCUCUUGUCAUGAGUUGCCAAGGCUAUGGAAGCCUCUUGUGUUCGCCGACUCCGAUCUUAUUUAGACAAGGUCAUAGUCAAAGUGGAAGUUCUCUCCUCCCUUCAGAGAAAGGUACCUCCUUCUUUGAUGGCCCGUUUCUAAAGUGACUUUCUAAUUGAGCUAAGGUGGAAAGGAAACACAUGAAUUAUAUAAGCGAAGAGGGGUGAGCCGGAUCAGGGAGAGGCGUGUCUUUCCGAUAGAGGCAUGCGUAACAAGGGUCCUGACCGAGGAAGGAGGAGGGCAUUUCUGGGGGCUGAAAGGUGGCCAGUGAUACUGGAAGAGGAAUUGACGGGCAGAGCAAUAUGUGGCCGCAGAAUAAUUGCCAAAUCUGAGAAGCUAAACAUGUCUGGAGUCAUAGGCGGGGAACCUGCAAGCAUUACAGAUUUUCCAUGGCAGGUGGGUAUUCUUAGCCAAGGGUAUUAUCUCUGUGGAGGCACCAUCCUCAGUGAGUGGUGGAUUCUAACUGCAUCUCAUUGCUUCAUCAGAGCAAACAAAUCCAACUUGUCAAUCGUACACGGCACAGAUGACUUCAAUAGCACGAAUUUGAAGAAGGUGCAGGUGGACAAGCUAAUUAUGCAUUCUGGUUUUGACAGCUGGAUCUUGGAUAAUGACAUAGCGUUGCUCUUGCUCAAAUCCCCAUUAAGGUUGGAUGUCAAGAGUACACCCAUCUGCCUUUCAAAGGUCACUAACAUACGGAAGUGGAGUGGCUGCUGGGUGACCGGAUGGGGCGUUACCCGUGCCAAAUCUAUAGGUGCUCCAUCUUCAAAGCUACAGAAAGUUGACCUCAAACUAAUGCACUGGGACACGUGCUUCUCUGUUUUGCCUAUGUUCACCAAGAACAUGCUGUGUGCCAGGAAUUCUCAAGGUGGAAAGGAUUCCUGCCAGGCAAGUGAUUUCCUCCUGUGCCUGGGACUUUUCCAAUUUCUUCAUCUUUAGAAUGAGAAUACUAAGAGUUCCUACCUUUUAGGGCCACUGUGAGAAUGACAAGAAUGAACACACAUGAAGUACUGUAAGUAAGGGUGACAGUGGGGGACCUCUGAUUUGCCACAAAAAGAACAAUAACAGUGUAUGGUACCAGCUGGGCAUUGUCAGCUGGGGAGCGGAAUGCGGCCACAAGGAGAUUCCUGGGGUAUACACGAAGGUGUCAAGCUAUCUGUCCUGGAUUAAAAAGAAGACAGCGCUGGCUGGGAAGCCUUACCUCCGUGAGCCAGACUCCGGGUACAGUUUGCUUCUCUCACCCUGGGCCAUCUUGUUCCAAUAUUUUGUGAUACUUCUGUUAUCCUGGUGAUUAAACACUGUGUUGUCUCAAAAACCAAGUGUCUGUCUCAGUUUGUGAAAUCAGGUACAAGUUGCAAGGAGUGAUUCCAGAUGAUCAGUGGUGGCUGAACUAAUCACAUGCCCACAGGAACUUAAACUAC